GUUUUAAUAGUUUAAAAAAAACAUUGGUCUUGUAAACCAAAAUUAAGAAAAUCCCCCACUUUUAAAACU
rnacentral:tRNA from 1 species